ensembl:snoRNA
CUGCGGUGAUGAGCGGUGGACGGUGACUGACCGGUAUUGUCCUCCUCCGGGACGCUCUGACCGGGACGUGAUGCCCCGUUAAUCUUCUCUCUGAGCGG